rnacentral:rRNA from 1 species
UACGAAGGGGACUAGUGUUGUUCGGAUUCAUUGGGCGUAAAGGGUGCGUAGGUGGCGCCAUAAGUCAGGUGUGAAAUCUCGGGGCUCAACUCCGAAACUGCACUUGAUACUGUGGUGCUCGAGUACUGGAGAGGAGAUUGGAAUUUACGGUGUAGCAGUGAAAUGCGUAGAUAUCGUAAGGAAGACCAGUGGCGAAGGCGAAUCUCUGGACAGUUACUGACACUGAGGCACGAAGGCCAGGGGAGCAAACGGG